AUGAUCUCUUCCCCCCCCCCAAUCACCUUUUGGCACCUUUUCCUAAUCUGGCAGCAACCAAAGGAGGCAGUUCUGUGCCAAGAUCCUGCAGUCUUCCGUCCUUGUGUCCCACUGACAAGCCCUUCCUUCAGGCAAGGAGGCUGGCAGUGUUUCUGCCUCAGAAGCCCGAGGUCCAGAGGGCUGCGCAGCCCCAGGCAAGCGGGGGUGGGGGGCGCUCCCACAUCCAGCCCAGGAUGGGUGGAACAGGUGUUGCCCAGUCCAGCUGUCCUCAUGCGCAAACCGGGAACAAGGGGCACACCACUGCCAUCCUCCGUGUGCCCAGCCCAGCUGCUCUUGGGCCUGCUCGACCCAGCCUGCCUGCCUGCCUUCCCUCUCUCCGGUCCAGGACCAAAUCUCCAGGCACUUCCAGUCGCCAGCCCCACCCUGGGCCCAUUGAGACAAACGCCAGGGUGGUGGCGGCUGCUUGGCAAAUUCUGCGCCCCCUCUGCCCCCGUUCUCUGGCUUCUGUUCAUAGGCUCCAUUUCCCCAAAGCCUUGCGGGAAUCCCACCCCCUCCAUCGCCUGGCCAGGGCAGCCGGACAGCAGCAAGCCUAAGCACAUCCCAGGGAUGUUUGGCAGACCCAAAGGAAAGGCCCCCACCCAGGACCCUCUGCCCUCCUUCACCUGCCUACGAAGGCAGCGUUUUCCCAGCGGUUCUGCUGCUUCCUCCGGGCUUUCCAGCGGCCCCCACCCCCCCUGCCAGGGCACACACUCGAUUUGGACCAGGGAAGGAUGGAUCAGUCCCAGCCCAGCUUUUCACUACAGUCUUGGCUCCCCCCCCCCGCUCUGCCCUCCUCGGGAACUCUUCCAGAUGGCCUCCCAGCCCCCCCCCAGCAAAGUAAGGGGUCCAGACACCCCCAAAGCAGCUCCUGCCGAGUGGGCUAGAGAGGCACUUACAGCUGUGGAGGCUCCCGAGAUGCUGCUCUGCCAGGACUGGGCAGCCCCAGGAGAGGGGCUAAAAGGCUCCGGCCCUCCGGCCCGUGACAUCACUGCCCCUCCCCCUCCUCGGUGGCUGAAGCUGCGCACCAUAUUUGGGGAAAGACUCCAAAGUCGAGCAGAGUUCUUGCCCGGAGACAUUCUCGGCAUGCCUGAGUCCCAGCGGAUGCUCCUCGGCCUGGGCUGGCCCUGCACAGCCUCUCCUUUUUAG
rnacentral:lncRNA from 1 species